GACGAAGGGGGCUAGCGUUGUUCGGAAUUACUGGGCGUAAAGCGCGUGUAGGCGGUUGCCCAAGUCGGGUGUGAAAGCCUUGAGCUCAACUCAAGAAAUGCACUCGGUACUGGGUGACCAGAGGACCGGAGAGGAUAGUGGAAUUCCCAGUGUAGUGGUGAAAUACGUAGAGAUUGGGAAGAACACCAGUGGCGAAGGCGGCCUAUC
rnacentral:rRNA from 1 species